AUGAUCAAACCUGGCUCUGUUCAACAGUGUCCGGUAUGCACUUCUUGGCUUCUCUCUGUUUCUAUAUCUGUUUUUUUUGUUGUUUCAAUUCAGAUCAAACCAAUAGCCUUUGCAUACAAGUUGGAGAGGUUAUUUCUCGCGUGGAGGUCUUUUCCCUUAAGGCACUACAUUUUUUCAGUGCCCCAAGCACUUUCCUCAUGUUUGCGGGUUGUGACCAGGAAAUUUUACACCACCGAGAUUAUGAUUAGGGCAGAGCAGCAUCCGGUGGCGAGGUUGGAAAAGAGAAGGAGAGAGAUCCGUGAUUGGGUAAUGACCCGCUGUGGUUGUGGCCAAGGAGCCAGCUCGGAUUUGUUUGCCGGUGCGUGUGUCGGUUGA
rnacentral:rRNA from 1 species